AUACCUUUACAAAUGCUGCUCUCCUGCCGGGAAUGCCUGUUCUCAUCCUCUUACCCUGGCAAGACAUUCAGUUAGUUCUUUACAACCCAGUUCUGAUGUCACUUCCUUUUAGUCAUUCAUCCGUCCCUCUGGGCUGGGUUAAUUCACUUCCUUCUCCAGGGCUUCGCUGAACUCUGCACAGACCUCAAUUACAACCCUUAUAAAGCUGGGUUGUGGUCGGGUGCGGUGGCUCAUGCCUGUAAUCCCAGCACUUGGGAGACUGAGGCAUGUGAGUCGCCUGAACCCGGGAGGCAGAGGUUGAAGUGAGCCGAGAUCGUGCCACUGCACUCCAGCCUGGGCGACAGAGCGAGACUCCGUCUCAAAAGUAAGUAACAAGAGGAUUCAGAAUCUGAGAGAUACUGCUUAAAAGGAAAAUGUCCUGGAGGGAUGCCAAACUGCACUCUCAAAGGUUUCGGCUGGAUGUGUGAUAUUGAUGGGGAAACCCAUUUCAGUGUCUCUAAGAAGGGGGUAGUGCUCCUCUUUCCAGGAUGUCUCUGGGGAAUCUAGAGCACCCCAAAGUGUGGUAUGCAUAGAAACAUUGCUGCUUAAGGUCUGAAUAUUUGUUCCUCAUCAAUUCAUGUGUUGAAAUUCUAACCUCUCCUGAAUGGGAUUAGUGCUCUUACACGAGAGGCCUGACAGAGACUCCUCACCCUUCCCACCAUGCGAAGACACAGUGAGAAGGCUCAGUCUAUGAACCAAAAUGUUGACUGUCACCAUUUACUCAAUCUGCUGUCGCCUUGAGCUUGGACUUCCCAGCCUCCAGAACUGUGAGAAAUAAAUUUCUGUUGCUUAUAAGACAACCAGUUUAUGACAUUUCGUUAUAGCAGCCUGAAUGGACUAAGACACCCUUCCCACCAUGUGAAGACAGAGUGAGAAGGUUCGGUCUAUGAACCAAAAACUGACCCUCACCAGUCAUUGAAUCUGCUGGUGCCUUGAUCUUGGACUUCCCAGCCUCCAGAACUGUGAGAAAUAAAUUUCUGUCGUUUAUAAGCCACCUAGUUUAUGAUACUUUGUUAUAGCAGCCUGAAUGGACUGAGACACCCACCUUAAAAAGACAGUACCUCAAAACCAUAAGGCAGGAUAACUGCUAGCCUGAUAUUAAUAGUUUUUAAUUUACUGCUAGCUUCAUUUUGCCAACUGAGUCAGAUAUUUUUUAAAAGUUCUGUUUGCAAUUAUUUUAACUUAGGAGAGGAGAAAAAGAGCAGGCAUCAGCCUGCAUAUGGGAUAUUUCUGAAAGGAUUUUGCUAUGAUUAGCUUGCCCUCAGGGAGAGUAAAAUGUGAGUUAUACAACCAUGCUUAUAUUUAGAUGUUGUUGAUGUUCUGGCUUAUAAUAUAUGAUGAGUUAGAAAUAAUUUUGUACUGAUCAGCCCAACCAGAAAAUAAACAUGCUUUAACUUGUAUUUAUUACUAAACUUGGUCUCCUAAAACAUGAUAAAGCAGUUGAGUCUAUAAUGACUGAGCCAUAGCUUCUCUGACUGACUCUAAGAGGGAAUGACGUUAAUAAGAGAUUAGCCCAUACCUCUAAUAGCCCUGGGAGAGAUGAACCCAAGACGGCAAGGCCCAGCUCUGAUGGAUGAAGGGACAGAGAACUAUAAGAAGACUGGGUUCCAUCUAGGAUGGGUGGCCUGUUGAGUGCCCAUCUUAUCUGCUUAGAUGAUGAUACUUGGAGACCUGACUCAAUUGUUGUGAAUGGUCUUUGUAAAAUUUUAUUUUAGAGACAGGGUCUUGCUAUGUUGCCCAGGCUGGUCUCAAACACCUGGGCUCAAGUGAUCCUCCUGCCUCAGCCUCCUGAGUAGCUGGAACUGCAAGUGAUUACUCUUAUUGAACAAACAAACAAAAACAAGUGCCUGUGACCUAAUAGAGAUGCAUGCAUAUGUUCACCAAAAGAUCUAGAAUGUCCACAACAGCCCUAUUUAUCAUCACCCCAAAUGGGGCACCCUGCACCUACCUCAACAGUAGAUGCAUACAUUUCUGUGUAUUUACACUGUGGAAUAUGACACAGCAAUGACAAUGAAUGAACUACAGCUAUACACAACAACAUGGAUGGCUAUCACAAACAUAAGGUAGAGCUAAAAGCGAAAAAAACCAGCAUAAAAGUGGGCAAAAGCCAUCUAUGUUGUUAAAAAUCAGGAUAGUGGCUGCCCUGGAAGGGGGCAUGAGGAGGCUUCAAGGUGCUUGUCAUGUUCUCUUUCUUCACU
rnacentral:lncRNA from 1 species